rnacentral:rRNA from 1 species
UAGGGAAUCUUCCACAAUGGACGCAAGUCUGAUGGAGCAACGCCGCGUGAGUGAAGAAGGUUUUCGGACCGUAAAGCUCUGUUGUUGGUGAAGAAGGAUAGAGGUAGUAACUGGCCUUUAUUUGACGGUAAUCAACCAGAAAGUCACGGCUAACUACGUGCCAGCAGCCGCGGUAAUACGUAGGUGGCAAGCGUUGUCCGGAUUUAUUGGGCGUAAAGCGAGCGCAGGCGGAAGAAUAAGUCUGAUGUGAAAGCCCUCGGCUUAACCGAGGAAUUGCAUCGGAAACUGUUUUCUUGAGUGCAGAAGAGGAGAGUAGAACUCCAUGUGUAGCGGUGGAAUGCGUAGAUAUAUGGAAGAAUACCAGUGGCGAAGGCGGCUCUCUGGUCUGCAACUGACGCUGAGGCUCGAAAAGCAUGGGUAGCGAACAGGAUUAGAUACCCUGGUAGUCCAUGCCGUAAACGAUGAGUGCUAAGUGUUGGGAGGCUUCCGCCUCUCAGUGCUGCAGCUAACGCAUUAAGCACUCCGCCUGGGGGAGUACGACCGCAAGGUUGAA